CUGGCAUCUCAGAUUCUCUGGGAUGGGGCUGACCUUUCCAGGUGUAGUUACAAGACUGUUGUGGCCUACCUCAGCGAGAAAGCUCACAGGCAGACACAUCAACAGUCCUAAUCUUCCUCACAACCAAUAUUGUGUACUUCCUCCUGUCUUCAGGCUUCACCCACAGGGAAUGCAUCGCACAAUCAGCCUUUGUUAUAACAGAAUAUUCCAGUACUUCCUGAGAAUUCUAGAAUGCCUAGACCUUCCUCUCAGGCUCUCUGCUCCAGGACACUCAGGCUACAAAACCUCCCUCCUCAAAGUUCUUCCCAUCUAUACUGGACUGGAGUUCACAGGCAGGAUAUGUUUUGGAGACCAUGCCAUCUCUGCUAGCAGGAAAGAGGAGGGCAGGAUGCAGGUUGACAAGGUUUCAAGAUUUUCCCAACUGGUUUUGAAAGGCAACCUGUGGAGUAUUUCACAAAUGAGAAAACAGAGGUUCCAAAAGUUACUGGAAUCCAUGUUCUUACCUUCUUCCUGGGUAUGUAUAGCCUGGUCUUCCUUGCAACUAGGGAGUAAGUAGCCUGUGAUUAGCCACUGGAGUAAUAUAUUUUGUCCAGUAGAUAUGAAGAGGAAGCAGUGUGGGCCACUUCAAAGGCCUGGUCUCGUCCUGUCUGCCUGGCUGGGAUUGCAGUGUUCCCUGAGCAGUCUUGGAAGUGACUUAAUGAGUUGGCAAAGGCUCUGUCAGUCCGAGUCCCUAGAUGACCAUCCUAGGGAGGACUGCUCCACCUACCUCUUGCCCAGCCCAGAACUAUGAACUGAACAGGAAAUAAACUCCCAAUGUGAUUAUAUUUUUUAAAAUUUUAUUUUAUUGGUACAUUU
rnacentral:lncRNA from 1 species